rnacentral:misc_RNA from 1 species
UCUCCGUAGGUGAACCAGCGGAGGGAUCAUUACCGAGUUUACAACUCCCAAACCCAAUGUGAACCAUACCAAACUGUUGCCUCGGCGGGGUCACGCCCCGGGUGCGUCGCAGCCCCGGAACCAGGCGCCCGCCGGAGGGACCAACCAAACUCUUUCUGUAGUCCCCUCGCGGACGUUAUUUUCACAGCUCUGAGCAAAAAUUCAAAAUGAAUCAAAACUUUCAACAACGGAUCUCUUGGUUCUG